GACGAACGCUGGCUGCGUGCUUAACACAUGCAAGUCGAACGGAAACGUCCUGCUUGCUUGCUACUCCAGUGGCGAACGGGUGAGUGACACGUUAGUGAUCUUCCCACCACCUCUUGAUAAGCCUGUGAAACUGGGUCUAAUACCGGAUAGCAGCCAUUUUUAGUUUGAUGGUUGGAGAGUUGUUUCGGUGUAGUAUGAGCUCGCGGCCUAUCAGCUUGUUGGUGGGGUAAUGGCCUACCAAGGCGGCGACGGGUAGCCGGCCCGAGAGGGUGGACGGCCACACUGGGAAGAAGACUAGGCCCAGACGCCGACGGGAGGCAGGAGUGGGGAAUAUUACACAAUGGGCGCAAGCCAGAUGGAGCGACGCCGCGUGGGGGAUGACGGCCUUGGGGUUGUAAGCGCAUAUCGCUAGGGACGAAGCUGUUUGUGACGGUACCUAGAGAAGAAGCACCGGCUAACUACGUG
rnacentral:rRNA from 1 species